rnacentral:rRNA from 1 species
UACGAAGGGGGCUAGCGUUGUUCGGAAUUACUGGGCGUAAAGGGCGCGUAGGCGGUCCUGAUCGUCGGAUGUGAAAGGCCUGGGCUCAACCUGGGAAUGGCAUCCGAUACGGCGGGACUGGAGUGUGGGAGAGGUUGGUGGAAUUCCCAGUGUAGAGGUGAAAUUCGUAGAUAUUGGGAAGAACACCGGUGGCGAAGGCGGCCAACUGGACCACAACUGACGCUGAGGCGCGAAGGCCAGGGGAGCAAACGGG